UCCUUCACCACAACCACGGCAACGGGAGAGGCUUAUCUCUCACCACGACAGACUUGAGGGGUUCUCUGCCAACUGAUCUCUCACCGCAACGUGUAGACGGAUCUCUACGUGGAGACUGAUCUCUCACCACAACACGAGCUUCCUGCCUUCCGAUCCUCCUCUACGGACCGUUUGCUGACGGACUUCCCUGGGCCUGCUACCUGAGACCUGCUGCUUCCUCCCCGACCUGCAUCCUCUCGCUGCCCCAGACCGGCCUCGCUGCUCCUGCCCUUCGGCCUCGGACCGUCGGAACAUCGUGCAAUGGGACUGCUGCCGGAUCCUGAUGGGUCUCAUGAUCUUGCAUUUGAUGUCUGUGGUCUGAUGUGAAUCUAUCACCCUUUAAACUGCUGAUGCCUUGAGGAAUUGUUCUUGAAUACUGGUGGCGUUCUCUUCAGGUGCUUCCACUGAUGUCUGGAAUCAUUUAAUAGAAUCAGUAGGAAAUCCCUUAGGGAAGGGAGAGUCUGACUAUAAGACUUAACUGGCGAUACAAGCUUAUCUCCAUUCAUGCUUGACAGAUGUGAACUCUAUUCUAAAAUUCAGUGACUGCAUAGAAAAUAGUAAGCAGUAAUUUUGCUGCUUCUCUUGUACUUAAGUGGUCUUGAAAUGCCUGGAAUAUGGGUGAUCCUUGCACAAAACGUUCUUCGGGCCCAUGACAUAUAACAGUGUAAGUACUGAUUUGAAGCAUGGAUUUAACUUGAAUUAUUUCGCAUAGAUACAUAAUACUACUGUAUUUCAAAGUAAGUAUUUUUCUGGCCUAGCAGAUACUUAUAGCAAAGAAAAUUGAAUAGCAUGAACGGAAACACUGGGAGUGAGCUGUUGCAGAAAAUCUUCUGAGGCACUGCUUAGGGUUUUCUUCUUAUAAGACAGGACUGGAUUUCAGAUAUGGGAGGGGUAGGUAUGUGGCGGUAUUGUCCUCAGUCUGAGCAGUGCAAUGCUACUGCAGGUUAUUGAUAGGUUUGAUUUUCUUCCCCCCCAAGAAUGCUAUUUAAAAAUAUAAAGGCAAAAACAAGCAAACAAACAAACAAACAAAAACUCUCACUUCUACAAUCAGUUCUGGCUGUUUUGAGUUUGUAAAUUAUCUUCUGCAAACAUCAAAUAUCUCUGCUAAAGAAUUUGUGUGAUGGAGGUUUCAAGGCAAGGACAAAGUACAGCUUGAACCAGUAUAACAAGGGCAAGCAUGAAUUGAAGAAAUGCAUGAUACCUACCCCAUUUACUGUUCCCCAGCCAUGUGUAGGGAGUGUGUACUUGCCUGUCCUACCAGGGGUGAUUGUUCCACGAUAACUGUUCUCAAGCCACGAUGUGGAAGUCUGGAAGUACCUGAUUUACCUAAAUGCUUUGUUUCCUUGAAUAUCCUGGUUGUGAAAUAGAUGAAGAACAAUGUAAAUAUGUAAUAUUAAAAGGAUAUUAAGAGGAGGACAAGAAAGCGGGUAGAAGCAUUGGAAGGCAUAUCAUAUGAGGAGAGGCAAAGGACACUUUGUUUAUCUAGCCUGGAGAAAAGAGGGCUGAGAAGUAACCUCCUUACUCUCUACAACUUCUAGAGGAGUGGAAAAAGAGAGAGGGAGAUGCUAGUCUCUUCUCUCUUGUCACCAGCGACAGGAUAUAUGGGAAUGGAACAAAGCUGCACCAGGCAAAAUUCAAACUGGAUAUUAGGAAAAAAAUUUUUUGCUAUCUUCAAUUUCUAUCUGACAGAAAAUAUUCUGAAUAUCUCAAUGGGAAAGAAAGAGGAAAAGUGUUCACAAGUGAUGAGGUGAUUAGGAUAAUUACUAAGAACACCAAUUUUCAAAUCCCCGUUCUAAAUCUAUCUGAAAGAAGCAGGAUUUAAACUUUAAUUUCUUACACCCAACACAAAUAGCACAACCAAAUUUACCAUCUGAGAUUUGCAGUUUCUAACGUGCUAUAUACAUCUGUUUAUGCUGUUCUUCAUCAAGCACCAUGACUGUAAAAUAACUGCUCCAAAAUUAAUGCAAUACUGCAAUUAUUUUUAGGUUAGUUGUCUUUUUCUUGAAGGCAAAACAAGAGAAGACAGUCCUAUUGAGUUAAAUGUCUCAAGCAUUUAUAUUCUAACAUAGCGAAAUCUGAGAAAAGAAGGUUUAUGAACUAUGGUGCUCGCAAUCCUUGGUUCUACUACAGGAUGUCAGCGUACGCUUCAGUUCACAAACAAGCACAGUAGAAACUGUAACAUGGCUCUUUCUGAUUUCUUCCAAUGUAGGCUGAAUAUUAAUGUCAUCAUACAAUCAAAGAAGCUAAAAUAGUUGUUCUGAAAAACCUCAGAAACAUGUUACAGUGUUAGCUUGUUGGUGUUAAAUAUAAAACUCACUGUUCAUUUGUUUGCCCACUAUCAUAAAUUGAAUCUCUUUUCUCCAACGAGGAAGAAAAUAAAAUAAAAAUGACAAGAAGAGAAUUAAUCUAUUGUCUGACAUUUUUUAGAAGUUUGAAAAAAUAUUAAAACAUCAUUCUCUUUUUUUUCUACGGUGAAAUAAUUUGAGGAGGCUUAGAAAACAAUUCACACUUUUUUGUUUGUUGGUAGGAUGUCUUUUUGAUUGAAGUUGCUUUCUAUUUUCUACCUGUCUCUUUAGUGGUAGUUCCAUAAGUUGUGAACUGCAUUUGUACUUGUAGAGAGUAUUUUGCAAGUUGGCAUUUGCUACCUAUUGAAGAUUUGAGAAUGCAUGAGACUGUCUCAUCACUGGACAGCAGGUUUUUUUGUUUUGUUUUGUUUUGUUUUUUGACCAUUCAUGCUUCUGUGUAAGGAAAACUGCAAAACUAAGACAAAAUAAACAACCAUAAAUUUACCGUGUUCCUACUAGCAGAUGUGUUACAUAUGUAUGUCGGGAAAUUGAACCAAUAUGCUGGUGUUCUACUAUGCAGUGAACUAAUGGAACUAAUGAACUGAUGAUAAGCUGAAGCACAAGGCCAUGAUGUAGAACAUUUGAAUGAGAGUUUACACAUUUUUUUUCCAAAAUGGAACAUCAGAUAAGCUCUCAAACUAUAAAUAGAUAAAAUGUUAUUUCUGUCACUAAUGACUCAUGUAAUAAAUGCCUUUUUG
rnacentral:lncRNA from 1 species